rnacentral:lncRNA from 1 species
GGAUUCCGCCCGUUUUCGUCAAUCAAAUUAUUCAUCGUACAUAAUCUUUAGGGUAUCUACAUAUCUUUCUCUCUUUUUUUUCCUCUAAAAUUUAUAAAACUUAUAUGAGUUUAUUACUUAUAGACAUAUAUAUAUGCCUUGGAGUUUCUUUUCCGCAAUAUUUUUGUAUUGAUCUUAUAAUACCAUAUAUUCCUCAACCAUAAAAUAAACAUAAAUGAUAUAUAUAUAUAUUAAUUAAGCUUAAUUAUUUAAUUUGUUUAUUCUAUGUAGAGGUGUUGAUGGGUGAAGUCAGAUUAGAUUUGAGUUGGGUUUAAGUAUAAUAUUAAUACAUUUUAUAUUUGUUCAAGCCUGACUUGAUCUAAAACAUGAACCUAAAAUUUUUCUCAAGCCUCUCCAUAUUUGUCAAUAACUAACUCAAACCCAAUUUGAGUCCCCAUGUUAUUAAAAUGUUUUUUAUUUAAUAUUUAAUAAAUUUUUUCAUUUAUUAAAAUGUUAUAUACAAGCAACUUAACAUUUUAUUAAUGUUUAAACUAUAGUAUUAUACAUUACUAUAAAUGUAUUUUUUAUAUGUUACAAAUAAUAUAAUAUAUUAAAAUAACAUAAUAUGAUAUAUUACAAACUUAAAAAACGGGAUGAACUGAGUUCAGGUUCAAAUAUUCAAGGCUCAAGCUAACCUAAGCCCAACUUAUAUUUUAAAUUGAUAUAAUUUUUCACCCAAACUUAUUUUAUAGACUUGUAUUUUUACCCAAAUCUUUAAAUACUUUAAGCCAAAAUUUGAGCUUGGACAUAUAAUCCGACUUUUGAAUAGGUAUAACUCUAUACUAUGUUUCAGAUUUAUCACACAUUUAUGUCUAAUACUUAUAUCGAACGCAUAUUUAAACAUAAUAGUCUAAAAAUAUAAAAUCACAUAUCAUACCGGCAUACUCACCUUGUCUUCAAAUGCAUACUGUAACAGGCCCAUUUUGCCCGGGCUUACACAAAAAACCAAAAAAAAAAAAUCAAAAUAAAUAAAUAAAUAACCAAAAUAAAGUCCAAAUUAACAGUCCAUUAAACAAGUCCAAAUACAAGGCCCAAAUAAACCCUAACCUAAAUUGGCCCAAAAUCUAACCCUAGCCACAUCCUUGCACCGCAGCCUUCACGAGCAGCCUCGCCACAUCGCACGUGCUCCUCCGUUCCUCCGUACACCCCCACGAACGGCCUCGCCAUGUCAGCAGCACCAUGACCUUCGUACCUGCAACGGACUAACAACAACAAUAGUAAGUAGCAGAUAACAGCAAAUGACAGCAAGAAAAUAGAGGUUUUUAUUUUUCUUUUAUUUAUGCUGUAAAAUUCGGCUAUAAAAAGCCAUCAUUUGUACUGUAAAAGGGAUCGAGGAUACGCAUACGAAAAUCGAUACCAAAAGUUUGAAUAAAAAAUAGUUUUUAGGAGGUAAUUGAAAAUCUCAUUUUUCUUUUCAUUUUGCUUUUAUCUAUUUGAUUUUGUUAUUAUAUAAGUAUAAAAACAAAAAUAAAGGAGAGGGAGGAUACCUAUCUUGAUAAAAGCCCUCAAAUCCUUGUUUGCUUUGAAGAAAUCAAAGCUUAAAUAAGGAUUGUGAGAGCUAGGAAUGAAAAAACUUUCAGAUUCAUGGUCGAACAGGGUCGAUUAGGCCUUCGCGCGACGAUCGUCUGCCGAAAACGGAGGCAAAACGGCAGUUGAAGGAUGCCUUAGGUUCGGCCGAAUAAAUAAGGGAAUAAGAUUUAGGUUUUUUUUUUAUUAUUAUUUGCUUUCAAGUGGCUAAAUGCUUGAUUUUAGGGUUUUUAGGCUUGGUUUUGUACAGAGUAAAAAA